AGGCGCGUAGCUCAGUUGGUUAGAGCACCACCUUGACAUGGUGGGGGUCGUUGGUUCGAAUCCAAUCGCGCCUACCA
rnacentral:tRNA from 211 species